AUCUUAUCCAGAGUGACCGAGGGAACAGGCCUGUCGACGUCACAGCAACCUUCCAUGCGGAGUGGUGCUACCUCCUGCAGAAUGGUGAUUCAUUCUGAAAGAUAAGGA
rnacentral:ncRNA from 1 species